AAAAGGAAAAGAAAAGUCGUCAAUUUGACAGAAGAUAUUAUGAUAAUUUAGCAUAAAAAAGAAAAAGAAAUAAAAUUAUUAUUGUAAUUUUCUUAAAAAUAUUAAUAGGAAUUUGGCGCUUCCUUAAAACGGGUUGACGGCGUCAUCACAGUCGUCACCGGCAGGAAUUAUAAGGAAAAAGAAUCCAAUUUAUCAAUAACUUUAUAAACACAUAAAAAAUUAGAUUCAAAUAAUUUUUUUAUAUAUUAAAAAAAAUGGUUAAUUAAGAGGUAAUUUCGAGAUAGAAGGAAGGGUAUUUUGGGUAUAAUGAGAAUUAUGUCUGUGACUAAUCUAGAGAGAGAAAAGAUAUGUAAUAUGUGAAGCAUGUGAAUGGACGAGUUUGACCCUAACACAACGCAGCCUCUUCCGCGGUCUUUUUGUUCAUCGUUAUCUUCCUUGCAUUUAGUUCAGUGAACAUUUCAGUAGAUCCUCUCAUGCUUAUCGUCCAGUUACCUCCAUUCUUAAUUAACUGCCAUUUAUAACCAUUUUCGUCUCCAUUUCCGACAUGAAUCACCUCAGAAUUCGUUGAUUUUAAGGAAAAAAGAAAGAAACAAAGUUGUUGGUUUUUACAAUUCUUUUUAAGGCAGGAAAUUUCCAAUUGGGUCAGAUCUUGGUAUUUACUCACUACUGAUUCUCUGCUAACUCUUUUUACUUUUAUGCGAAGUUCAUUCAUUAUCUGGAAGAUCGCUUCCAGUUUCACCUCAUAAAGAAGCUUGGAAAGUUAAAACAGAGCCCUUCACGCGAAACCCAGAUUUUUAUUGUUGUUGAUUCUGCAAAUUUUGUACCCUUUUGAGCUGAGAUCAAAAUUUAUUGACUUGAAGAAGGGGAAAUGUCUUGGUCAACGCUGUCGGAUAGGUUUCCUCUCCAGUGGGUAGUCUUUGGUUUUGCCGUUGACGUGAGAUUCCAGCUCGAGCGACAAAAUGGUGGAGUUUUCAAUAUCCCAUUGUGGGUUGGCUUUGUUUUUACCUUUCAGGGUUUCAUUUAAAAUCCACCUUCGUUUUGUUGAAGCAGCGUUUUGUUUUGUAAAACCCCAUCUCCUGUGUUGGUCAAAUCCGGGGGCUUCUAAAUGAAAGGGAGGAAGCUUUGAACAGUAUAAACUGCUCUGUUUCAUAGAAUCUGCCUUUUGGGGGUUUCUGAUUUCUGGGCUCCUUAUUUCCAAGUUGAUCGUCUUUUAAGACCCCAUUUCUGGAAUAAGAGAGCUGUUUUUGGUGUUGGCUUAGAAAUGGGCGGUGGUAGAAGACGAAGGAAGCAGCAUUUCAGAAGGAUUCAUGCCUUUCCUUGUGGUAGAGCAUCAUUCAAAGAUGAACAGUCAUUAAUUGGAGGGCCAGGGUUCUCAAGGGUAGUUUACUGUAACGAUCCAGAUGGUUUUGAGGCGAGUCUUCUCAACUAUGGAGGCAAUUAUGUCAAAACUUCAAAGUAUACUAUUGCUUCAUUCUUCCCCAGAUCCUUGUUUGAGCAAUUCAGAAGGGUUGCCAAUUUGUAUUUCCUCCUUUGUGCUCUGCUUGCCUUUAGCCCUCUCUCGCCUUAUUCGCCCAUCAGUAAUGUUCUUCCUCUUCUUCUUGUUAUUGGUGUCACCAUGGGCAAAGAGGGUGUUGAAGAUUGGAGGCGAACCAAACAGGACAUGGAGAUGAAUAACAGGAUAGUGAAAGUACAUAUUCAAGAGGGUGAGUUUGUUGAGACUAAAUGGAUGGACUUGAAAGUUGGGGACGUGGUUAAGGUGGAGAAGGAUGAAUUCUUCCCUGCUGAUCUCAUUUUACUGUCGUCGAGUUACGAGGAAGCGAUUUGCUAUGUCGAGACGAUGAAUCUUGAUGGCGAAACGAAUUUGAAGCUAAAGAAUGCAUUAGAAGCAAGCUCGAACUUCCACGAGGAUUCGAGCUUUAAGAAUUUCAAGGCUGUAAUAAAAUGUGAAGACCCCAAUGCAAAUUUGUAUUCCUUUGUGGGAAGUAUGGAGCUUGAAGAACAGCAACACCCCCUCAGUCCUCAGCAGCUUCUUCUUCGUGACUCGAAGCUGCGGAACACAGAUUUUAUAUAUGGGGUCGUGAUCUUCACGGGUCAUGAUACGAAGGUUAUUCAGAACUCAACAGCUCCUCCUUCCAAGAGAAGCAAGAUUGAGAAGAGGAUGGAUAAGAUUGUGUUCUUCCUGUUUGCUGUUUUGGUUUUGAUAUCAAUUGCUGGGUCGAUUUUUUUCGGAGUUUCGACUAGGGACGAUAUAGAAAACGGAAGACCUACGAGAUGGUACCUUAGGCCAGACGAUACGACAAUAUAUUACGAUCCCAAAAAUGCUCCAGCUGCGGCAAUAUUGCAGUUUUUGACAGCUCUGAUGCUUUUUAGCUAUUUGAUUCCCAUAUCAUUGUAUGUGUCCAUUGAAAUUGUCAAAGUUCUGCAGAGUGUCUUCAUCAACCAAGAUCUUCACAUGUACCAUGAGGAAACUGAUAAGCCAGCUCGUGCCCGUACCUCGAAUUUGAAUGAAGAGCUUGGCCAAGUUGACACCAUUCUUUCUGAUAAAACCGGGACAUUGACCUGCAAUUCAAUGGAGUUCAUCAAGUGUUCGGUGGGCGGGACUGCUUACGGACGAGGAAUUACAGAAAUAGAGAGAGCUCUUGCAAGACGAAAGGAAUCAACUUUACCUGAAAAUUUAGAGGCCAACAUUGCACGUCUUAGCAGCGAAAAAGCGUUCAUUAAGGGGUUCAAUUUCAAGGACGAAAGAAUAAUGGAUGGUAAUUGGGUGAACGAGCCUCGAGCCGAUGUAAUCCAGAAGUUCCUACAGCUUCUUGCUAUCUGUCAUACUGCAUUGCCAGAAAUUGAUGAGGAAACUGGUAACAUUUCAUAUGAAGCUGAAUCACCAGAUGAGGCAGCUUUUGUGAUUGCAGCCAGAGAAUUUGGAUUCGAGUUCUAUGAACGGACUCAGACAAGCAUUUCGUUGCGGGAGUUCGAUCCAACCUCGGCCCGAAAAGUCGAAAGAUCAUAUCAACUCCUGGAUGUUUUGGAGUUUAAUAGCACAAGAAAACGGAUGUCUGUGAUUGUAAGAGAUGCACAGGGACAGCUACUACUACUCUGUAAAGGAGCUGACAGUGUUAUGUUUGAAAGACUUGCAAAGAAUGGAAGUGAGUUUGAAGAACAGACAAAGGUGCAUAUCAAUGAGUACGCCGAUGCCGGUUUAAGAACUUUGGUUCUAGCGUACCGUGAGCUGAAACAGGAGGAGUUUAAUAAAUUUCAUCAAGAAUUCAUAAAAGCCAAGAACACAGUGAGCACGGAUCGUGACGACACCAUCGAUCAGUUAACAGAAAGCAUCGAGAAAGAUUUGAUUCUUCUUGGUGCUACAGCAGUUGAAGAUAAACUUCAAAAUGGGGUCCCUGAAUGCAUUGACAAGCUUGCUCAGGCUGGUAUAAAAAUAUGGGUGCUGACUGGUGAUAAAAUGGAAACAGCCAUCAACAUUGGCUUUGCUUGUAGUUUACUUAGGCAAGGAAUGAGGCAAAUCACUAUCAGCUCAGAGACUGUUGAAGGAAAAGCUCUAGACCAAGUUGAAGAGGUUCACAAAUCUGCAGCUAUCAAGGCGUUUAAGGAAAGCGUGACUCGACAAAUAACCGAUGCAAAAGCAUUACUUGCAUCUUCAAGCAAAACCCCGGAAGCGUUGGCUUUGAUAAUUGAUGGAAAGUCGCUCACCUACGCUCUGGAGGACGAUGUGAAGAACUUAUUUCUGGAGCUUGCCAUUGGCUGUGCUUCAGUUAUCUGCUGCAGAUCAUCUCCUAAACAGAAAGCACAAGUUACCCAAUUGGUUAAGGUCGAAACAGGUAGCACUACUCUAGCAGUCGGUGAUGGUGCAAACGACGUCGGGAUGCUUCAAGAAGCGGAUAUCGGGAUUGGUAUUAGCGGUGUAGAAGGGAUGCAGGCAGUCAUGUCGAGCGACAUUGCCAUAGCACAGUUUCGAUAUUUGGAACGGCUGCUCCUUGUGCAUGGACAUUGGUGUUACAGGAGAAUCUCUUCCAUGAUAUGCUACUUCUUCUACAAGAACAUUGUUUUUGGGUUCACUCUCUUCUUCUUUGAGCUGUAUGCAUCAUUCUCCGGCCAAUCUGUAUUCGAUGACUGGUUCCUUUCGCUGUAUAACGUCUUCUUUACGUCUCUCCCUGUGAUCGCAUUGGGAGUAUUCGACCAGGACGUCUCAUCCCGGCACUGUCUCAAGUUCCCACUUUUAUACCAAGAAGGUGUCCAAAACGUGUUGUUUAGUUGGGUUCGAGUUAUCGGUUGGGUGUUCAACGGGCUACUAAGUUCUAUCAUCAUCUUCUUCUUUUGUGUCGGGGCAAUCGAAUAUCAAGCUUUCCGCAGCAGUGGAGAGGUCGUCGGGUUGGAAAUUCUGGGCGUCACCAUGUACACUUGUGUCGUCUGGGUUGUAAACUGUCAAAUGGCAUUAUCAAUCAGUUACUUCACAUACAUUCAACAUCUCUUCAUCUGGGGCAGCAUCAUUCUCUGGUACUUAUUCCUUAUGGCAUAUGGAGCUAUGAACCCAACCAUAUCAACCACUGCAUUUCAGGUCUUCGUCGAGGCCUGCGCCCCGGCGCCAUCGUUUUGGAUCCUCACACUAUUAGCUCUGGGAGCUUCCCUUCUCCCAUACUUCAUCUACGCAUCAAUCCAAAUGCGAUUCUUCCCAAUGAAUCAUCAAAUGAUUCAAUGGAUAAAAGCCGAUGGGCACGCGAACGACCCAGAAUACUGUCAAGUAGUGAGACAACGAUCGUUACGACACACAACCGUCGGUUACACAGCUCGGUUCAAAGCAUCAAAGCAUCUUAGAGAAAUCCCAGAAAGCAACAACCAUUAGUCUGCUGAUGAGAUCCUUUACCAUAGAAAGAUAUGACACUUUUGCAUAGGAAGUUUCUUCUCAGUGUAUAUAAUAUAUAUAUAGAUAUAUGUUUAUACAACAGAUGUAUAUAAGAUUCUUGUGUUCUGCU